UACGAGGGGGGCAAGCGUUGUUCGGAAUUAUUGGGCGUAAAGCGCGCGCAGGCGGCUGUUUAAGUCUGGUGUUUAAGCCCGGGGCUCAACCCCGGUUCGCACCGGAAACUGGGCAGCUUGAGUGCAGGAGAGGAAAGUGGAAUUCCACGUGUAGCGGUGAAAUGCGUAGAGAUGUGGAGGAACACCAGUGGCGAAGGCGACUUUCUGGCCUGUAACUGACGCUGAGGCGCGAAAGCGUGGGGAGCGAACAGG
rnacentral:rRNA from 1 species